rnacentral:lncRNA from 1 species
GGCUGAGGGUCCCAAAGACGAAGAUGUUGAGUCUGACAAAUCAGUGUCUGAGGUGAAUGAUGAGGAUGAUGAUGAAGAAGGCAGCGGAGACGUAAGUUGCAAUGUUCCUGUUAAUUGUUGCUGUUGUUGAUUUGUAAUUGCUAUUGUUUGACUUAAUGAAUUGUUUCUUAUUUUAAUGCAGGAGGAAGAUGAUGAGUAGGAAGGUCCGUGGUGGAUAGCAUAAUCAAUGUAGGCUGUGAUAGUGUUUGAUCAAAACCUUAUGUUAAUGCUUUCGAUGUUUCCAUGUUAUUCUUUUAGAUGCGCAUGCCAUCUAAGGGAGAAAUGUACCUCUGAAUCCUG